rnacentral:rRNA from 1 species
UACAGAGGGUGCAAGCGUUGUUCGGAAUUAUUGGGCGUAAAGCGCGUGUAGGCGGCUUUGCAAGUCGGGUGUGAAAGCCCUCAGCUUAACUGAGGAAGUGCGCCCGAAACUGCAGAGCUUGAGUACCGGAGAGGGUGGCGGAAUUCCCCAAGUAGAGGUGAAAUUCGUAGAUAUGGGGAGGAACACCGGUGGCGAAGGCGGCCACCUGGACGGUAACUGACGCUGAGACGCGAAAGCGUGGGGAGCAAACAGG